CUGCCGAGGGAGAAUAAGUGGUGACCAAAGGCAACAAUAGUGAUGUGUCCUUGGGUCUGGACUCCCAAGAAGGAAGUUUUACAUGUUUUCAAAAAUGAUCUAGAAUAUCCUCUUAAGGAUAGUGCUGAAAACAGCAUCCGAGUACUAGCUUCCUUGAAGUUGUCUUCCUGAGUGCAGAUUCUAUGGAAGCGAAGUAGCUGGGAUUUAAUAAGACCAGCAUAUGUGUGCUUAGGAUGGUGACUGGUUUUAAAAAGUAGUGCGUGUGUCCGUGGGUUUAAAAUAGACCUUGAUGUCCAGUUUGUGUGUGGAGCUGAACUUUGGGCCUUUAAAGGUUGUGGUAUCUAAAGAAUCUACUGUUUUCGCAUUGGUGGAUGAUUUCAGCUUUAUGGAUGGAUUGUGUGUAUUCAGCGUGUGUAGAAAUAGCUGAAAAUCUUCCUCCGAGUGAGUCCAGACACCCCAGAUGUCAUCCAGAUAUCUGUAAUAAUAAUAGUGGUUUUUUCAUACAUUUAUUUAAUGCCUCAGUCUCCUAUUGUGCCAUGAAGAUAUUUGCAUAUGCUGGAGCAAAUUUCUUCCUCAUAGCUGUUCCCUUAAUUUGCAGGUAAAAUUGGCCAUAAAAUUCAAAAUCUUUCCUUCUCAGAUUAAUUUGUAAUGGCUGAAGUAGCUCCUUGUCUGGCCUUUUGCUGUUGGGGUGUUUAAGGAGAACUUGUUUCACUGCAUUAAUGCCUUUGGUUAUGUCAAUGUUUGUAUAUAAGCUGUCUAUAUCCAUGGUGAAUAGGAUGGAGUUGUCUGGCAGGAUGAUUUGUUUGAUUUUGUUAACAAAAUCAUAUGUAUCGUUGAUGUAACUCUCAUGCUUUAUUGAUAGGGGAUUUAAAUAGUGAUCGAUGAAUCUGCUGUUUGAUAUGUUUCGCUAUUGCAGUCAGACACGAUGGGUCUACCCGGUGGGAUCUCGUGGGGUUUACACCAUUUUGCUGGUUCCUUGUGGAUCUUUGGUAACAGAUAGAACCUUCUGGCUCUUGGUUCCGAGAACCUUUGAGAUAUCUGCGCUGUUUUGCAUUAAUAAACUUUUUCUCAUACAAAGAGUCAAUGAUUUUAGUCACCAUGGGGAUGGUCUCUGGAUAAAUGGGUUUGUCUAGUCUAUUGUAAUAGGUGGUGUCUAGAAGUUGUCUUUUACCUUCCCAGAUAUAUUGUGCCCUGUCCAUAAUUACAAUAGAGCUCCCCUUAUCAGCCGGCUUGAUGAUAAUUUUCUUGUUGCCUGUUAAUUCCUUGAGUGCUUUGGUUUCAUUAAUACUUAAAGAGCAAGUAACGUCUAAAUUAACUUUUUUUUGCUGAUGAACUGUAUAAAUGAGUGUCUAAUAGUGUUUUAAAUGUGUGUAUUCAUUAUUUUAGCAUUUUGGUGCAUUUUCUUUAAAAAUUAAAAAUUCUGCCUAAAUACCACAGUAUAGCUCCACCUUCAGCUUAAAACAUAGAAUUUGACUCAUUUUGAAUAAAUUUUAGCCAAUGGCUAAAGAGUAAGAUACUACGUAAACUAGUAGAGUACUACGUAGCAGCUCUCUGUCAAAGUUAUAAAAGGAUCGAGCGUCUCGGCCACGCCUUGUGGCGAGUUGGGAGUUGGAUUUGCAAGCGAGUGUAGGAGGCUAGCUGUAGUUCAGCAUUAGCAUAUAGCAUUAGCAUAUCCUAGUCUUUAGCAUAGCUUUUAGUGUUAUACAUACUUAUUUAGUGUUAGCUUGGCUGUUGGAUAUUGUAGUUUAGUUAGUGUUUGGCUGUUAGUGUAAUUAGGAAAGUAGUUCGGGUUUAGUGCUCCAUAUCGUGUUAGCAUGGUGAGAUGGUGUAGUGUAGUAUGGUUGCGGUAGCUCUGUGGGGUUGCACUCCUUUCCGCUGGACUCCCGCCUGGUGCUGUAGUUUGCAACCAGCAUUUUACCCGCGAUUCUGCACGUCUCCGUUUGAAGAGGGAGGCUGUACCCACCGUGGCUCUUCCGCGAUUUAGAUGCAGCCCACCGACUCUGCUCCCCCACCAUGGCGGGCUCCAGUCUGAGGUGAGUACGCUAAAUAAAGUUUUAACAUCUUCUAAAGACAAUUCCCUACCUAAAUGCAAAGUCCGAGAGACGUGGUUCACUUCAUUUAGCUAGUCAGUCGGUAAUUCCGCAACAGUGUCUCUAACUGACGCAGCACUAGUUGACAGACAGCAUUACAGCAUGAAAUCCAGCUUGUGAACAGGUUCUGUGAGGAAUUCUGUUCAGGAGGUCGCAUUUCAGGCUCUCCACAUCAUAUGUGACUGACUUUUACGUUAUAACAACGAUCACACGCUAGGAAUGUUAUAAAGCGCCUAUAUAGGACAGUUUCUUAUGUAUAUUAUCUGACUUUAUAAACUCCCAACAACAAUGUGCUUCUAUUUUUUUUCCCAGGCUAAAUCUACCCAAGACACUGGCUGUCAGACUGAUUUAGCUGCAAGAAUGCACUUGUCCAGGCUGACGUGAAGCUUUACCGGCGUAGCAAAGCCAGCCAGAAGAGCUCACAGCCUCAGUAUGUCUUGUGACACAAGGAUCAUGACGGAAAUUCAUUUCCCAGAAAGUCAGAGCAGCGGCCACACCCCCUGAAAAGACCACGAUGUGAGGUGUCUGCUGUUGAUUCCAGCUUCCACCUCAGUGACAGUGCAAGCUCAGUGAACUGUUCAAGGAGGCUACUGAUUCUGGCCCUGUGACACUUGGUGGUGACGUGUGAGCUGAUUCACCUGGACACUCAGCAAAAUAUGGACUCUACACCAUGAGGCAGGCACACAUUAAUACUCUAUAAGAGCACAUAAGCCUGGCUGAUCACCUGAUAACUCCUGUCAUCUGGUUGUGACAGCAUGAGGAUGUCCUCACACACCUGUACCCUAUCAGCUCAUCUGGCAGAAUAGAGAGAGAAGAGACAACACCACAUCUCCUGUUCCUGGAAAGCCUUCAGCCAUCCUUCGAUGACUGAGAACCUCCAUCAGCUCUUUCUCCUGUCUGCCCACAAUUAUUAUAAUAAAUAUUGUGUUUGACAAGUUUUUUGUGCUGCCAAAUAUCUCAUUUAGAUUCCAGUUUUGAUAUUUUAAUGGAUAUUUAUAAAUUACAUUAAUUGAAUUAUCACAUUGUCGCAUGUUUAACUUGCUCUAUUGUGAUGAAUUAA